CAUGGCGACUAUCAACAAUAACAAAUUGCUUCUCUGCACAUUGACAUUGUUUUUUUGUUUUCUACCAGUUUUGCAAGCCGCCCCAGUACAAAUUUGUGGAGCUGGUGCACUAGGAUAUGAUUUGACUAACCUGACAGCAAAGUUCCGUUUCAGAUAUUUUAUUCUUCUUUGCACUUUAGCCUAAACAUUUUAGGAACUAAGGAAGGGACAAGGCCAGGGUCAUCUCGCGUUACGCCGUUACGGUACCUACAUGUAUAAUUUAAACGUCAGCAAUUACUGGUUUCGUUUACUUUCACCUCGCAAAUUCUUUUUGUUUAUUAAUGCCUGUAACAUCUUAUGUCAUUAAUUUGCUAAUUAUCAGCGAUGCCAGAUUCUAUCCUUAGCUUGGCUGAGAAAGUUACUCAGGAUUUACUCUGCAUGAUCGAUCCCCUUGUAAGCCUUGUCACCUCAGUAGUUCAGGAAAGAAAGCCUAGCAAUAAAAAAAAGUUUCUAUUCAUUAUGAUUGGAUGCAAAUCUGAAAUCAAAUUGUCAUACAGCAGCCUUAACAAUUAAGUUAUUCAAUGAAGAGUAGCACAGGAUGGAAACACUGUAUCUUGACAAAAUUUCCUUCAUGUAGUAUAGUGUAGGCCUAUGCCCGUCUUUAUUAGCCCAGUUGGCGCAGAAAAGUAGGAUGUUAACCCCAUUUCAUUUGCUUUUCACUACAUAUCAUAACAUAAACAGCCCAAUCUAACGACACAUCUUUUGCAUAUAUCUGCAAAUAUUGUAUUUCACUGACUUGACAGGCCAUGACAAGUCAAUGUUGGGGAUGGGUGUAGGUGCUUAAUUAAGAAAAAAAAGUGUAGGGGUAUAUUCUGGGAGAGUAGCACGAGAGUUUGGACAUUUGAGGGUAACAGAUCAUCAUGUUUACCAGUAAAUGGUACUGUUCCAGCUACCUGUACAUUUUAUAUGGGUUUAUGUCAAAAAAUUGCAAAUUGCAGCAAUGCUUCAGUUUGUCAGUCAUCUAAAUCUAACUCAUCCUCAUCAUAUUUCAAUCUGGGUAGAUAUACCGAAGAUCCAUUUCAUUCUUAUCCUGUGCCACCAGGUUUUAACACAACAUUUGGUCCGGGAUUAUUUAAUAAAUCUUGUUUACUUAAAACACAGAUUUUUUUUGAGUGUAAUUCUAAUUCAUUAUGGCCGUCCAAAACUGCAGUAGAAAGUAAAGUUCCUGUUAAUCCUGUCAUAGUAUUUGUAAAAGAACAGUAUCUGUAUAAUAUAACAUUUGAAUAUGCUGGUGCAUGUGUAAUUAUAUUACCUUCUGAAAGUGUAACACAACUAAGUGGUGGAACAAUUUUAUUAAUCAUAUUUACAGUUACAUUGAUAGUCUAUUUUACAUUUGGUGCCAUGUUGAACAUUGCUCGAGGUCGUCAUGGAAAGGAUGUAAUACCUAAUGCUGAUUUCUGGAUGACUUUACCAGUUUAUGUUGCGGAUGGUAUUUUGUUUACAUGUAGAUGUGGUAAACUAGAAACAUCUUCAGAUUAUGAUAAAAUUUAGCAUCCAUUACCGAGGUGAUCAAAUUCUGUAAAGAUUUAAAGAAUCCUACAUAUUAUUAUUAUCAAGGGAUGUUUAUCAUUGUAUGUCAGUCAGUAAGCGAUAAAACAUACACCUACUCAUCUGAUUUAAAGCACAUAUCAUGUCAAUGUUGAACACUGUACUAAUGAUGUCAUCUAAAUGUUUUAAGCAUUUGAACAAAUUUUAUUGAAAAACCUAUUAAGAAAGAAUCAAUUUUGUCAGCUUUUGUGUUCGUAUUAACCUAUAUAUUUUAUAUCUUUAUUUAAUCAAUUGUAUUAACAUUGUCUUGUUUUACACUGUAUAUAUAUAUACAGUGCCCGUUUAGUGUUCGUUUUGGAUAAUAAAGUUACUAUUUACAUGUAUUUAUUGAUAUUAGGUUUUAAAGAUACCUUCCCGAGUGAUUUGAUGAUAUAUUUGGACUAAAAACACAUUCAAACUAAUUAAUCUAUCAAAAUUUUGGUUCAAAUCCUUCGCAAAACAUUGUAUUCAUGAGGGAAUACACCUGCUAUAAAAAGUCUAUUAAAAGAGGUCAUGUUUGUGUCAUGUGACUUGGCAUGAACUAUUCUCUCCAGUUGUCACAUGGGAUUAAAUUACUCAUUAUGGAUAGUAUAAUAAUGUUACAUUGUGUUUAUAAAUAUAUUGUGUUUAUUUCUUGUAUAAUACAUAUUCAAAAAUUAUUAUUAGCUAUGUAUGAAGCUAGGCAGAUAUGGCAAGAUUCAAUUUUAUCUUAAAGGGACAGUCCCAGAUUUCACAGGAAACAAGUUGAUAAAAAUGCUUUAAGUAUGAAAAUGUGAAGAAUAAUCCUGGUUUGUGUGUGAAUGUUAAAGCUAAAAAUGUUGAAUCAGUAUAACAAACUUGUUUUAAGGAAUUCCACUGCUCAGAUGUUUGAAAGACUGUAAUUGGGACGAUAAUUAUAACUUACCAAUAUAAAAGUUAGAGACAUGGUUAUCCAGGCUAUAUUGAUAGGGUGAAUUUGGGGACUUAAAGCCGGAAACAUAUGAAAAUUGAAAUUUGUAUUGUUCUUUCAUGCAGAAUUAACCUGUUUGAUUUCCUAAAAUAUAUACAGCUCCUUUAACACCAUGCAAGCACCUUCAAGUACAUGGUAUACAGAAUGUUAUAUCUUUCAGUUUCUUUGUUUUGUUACAAAUUCUGAUUGUUGUUAUUAUUGUAAGAAAUUAGUUUCAUAUUCACAGUUCCCAUAUAAUUGAAAUUCAAUCUUUAGUCCCCCGCCUUUUAAAGGGUGCUGUUAAAGUAGAUUUACCUGCCAGUCUGUCGGUUACACAGUCGUACACUGUUUUGAACAAAGCAACUCUUCUUGUAAUUGAGGUAGAUAUUCAUAAGGUGAAUGCCUUGACUGAGUUUGAUGGCCAGCAUUUUCUGCUUCAGCUAAGCAGGAAUGAGCAAUUGGAUUUGUCAUUUGUCAAUACCUCAGAACAGUGAUUGUAAUUGUACGAGAGUGAUGAAAUUUGGUGUAUAGUUUCUUAACAUCAAUACCUGUACUACGUUUGAUAAUCAUCAUUUUUUGCUAAAGUUAAGCUGAGUGGGUAAGCAAUUUGAUGGCUCAAUGUUUUACAAAAAGUUAAAUGAGCCAAUAAUUAAUGAACGCCAUCUAUUUCUUUUAAUAUUGAGAUGAGGACAUUAGCCUCACUGUUGGCUUGUUUUAUUGUUUUUAAUAUUAUUCUGUUUUCCACCAGAAGUUGUCUUCAACUGGCCUUUAUAUUUUAUAGAUUAAUGCAUUUGUACAUUGUAUAUGUCACAUGAUAGAUACUAUUUUACUAUAAACGUGUUCAGAAAUAUUUUCAGAAAUAUGUACAAGAUCAAAGUGCUCACGAUACCACCUGUAUAAUUGUAUGUAUAGAAAAAUAUAUUGUUAAUGUGCCCCCAGCUUAUUUAGGAAUAUCCUGUCAGAUUUGCUUGGAUUGUUCAGUUAGGAAAAAGCCGAAUUUGCUCCUGUAUAAGGACACAGCUAAUCAAUUAUUCCUACGCCGUCAGCCACGAAACAAGGGUCAAAGUUAUUUUUAGUCUUUCUCUCCAUGGUUACUUUUCUCUACUUCCAGUUUGUGUAUCUCAGGAUUUCCAUGAUGAACCUCAAAGUGCCUUUGAGCAAGAGGUUGCCACAUGUUGCUCCAUCUGUGGUAGAAAAUGUUUUACCCAACAAAAUUAACAUUAAAGUCAAUAGGGAAAUCAUUGGUGAUGUGUGGCCUGUAGGUAGAUUAUUAAUUUUUUGCAGAGUUAUUGCAGUUAUUAUUUCUAACCCAGAAACCUUGUGAGCACUCUAAAAGUUACAACAUAUUGGUAUAACAUAAUUUCCUUAAUUAAAAUGAUGUUAGUGGGCCUAUAUUUCUUUGUUACUAAAGCUUGCCACACAUAGUUUCAUUUUCAGAGAACAGUCUAUUAUUUAAAUGUUCAGUAUAAAUGACUAUUGUAUAGUUUCUUGCCACAAUAAGGUGUUUCAGGUGUCUCAUAAAUAUAAAUAAUUGGUAUUAAGAGAAACUUUGUUCAGAAAUAAAUGAUUGUUUUAUGUCAAUAUCCUUUUAAUUUUGGUUAAUGGUUAUUUACUUGUACUUAAGAAAAACGUUGAAAUCUAAUAAAUGAAAAUAAUGGCCCUCAUUUAGCCAGAGAUGUUGACAAUUGUGUAUAGAAUGUUAAUAAUUAUCUUUAAAAUUCAUGUCUUUCCUUUCUGUCGUAUUUGUCAAAUAAAUAAUUUAAUAUUUUGUUGCAAUACAUAUAUAUUGUUAUUGUAAAAUGAUGAAGUAUUUUAUAUAAGAGAAUUUGUCCAUGCCUUAUAACAUCAUAAUAUUAUUAUAGUAAAUAGAUGAAAUAUUUUUUUAUAUUAGAGGAUUUAUUUGUGCCUUAUAUCAUAUAUGAUAAAUGUUUAUUAUAGUUAUAAUAUACUAAUCUGGAAAUUCUAUUUUGUUGAAUAAAUAUAUCUAAUAUUAUUAAACUGUUUUUACAAAUAUUGUGCCAAGAAAUUAUUGUUAUGGAUGACAUACUUUAUUUGAUGUAAUUCUAUAACCGUGUGGACAUACAACUUGUGUUUGGGUUGAAGCAGGACACAGCUUUUCAAUUUUUAUGCGCUCACAUAUUAAUAUUGUGUAUUGCUGCCGAUAAAAUUCUGAAAUUAUUUUAAAAAUAAAUGAAACAGUUUAAUGAAAGAUGUGUUGACUGUAUAAAAAUAUUAUUAUUAACAUUAUUAACAUUUGAAUCAAUAAAUGGCACCGCGUCUGA